rnacentral:rRNA from 1 species
UACGUAGGCAGCGAGCGUUGUUCGGAGUUACUGGGCGUAAAGAGUGCGUAGGCGGUUUUCUAAGUUUGGUGUGAAAUCUCCCGGCUCAACUGAGAGGGUGCGCCGAAGACUGGAAGGCUUGAGUAUGGGAGAGGUAAGCGGAAUUCCUGGUGUAGCGGUGAAAUGCGUAGAUAUCAGGAGGAACACCUGCGGUGUAGACGGCUUACUGGACCAUAACUGACGCUGAGGCACGAAAGCGUGGGUAGCAAACAGG